UACGGGGGGGAGCAAGCGUUGUUCGGAUUUACUGGGCGUAAAGGGCGCGUAGGCGGUCAGCACAAGUCAGUUGUGAAAUCUCCGGGCUUAACUCGGAAAGGUCAACUGAUACUGUGCGACUAGAGUGCGGAAGGGCAACUGGAAUUCUCGGUGUAGCGGUGAAAUGCGUAGAUAUCGAGAGGAACACCUGCGGCGAAGGCGGGUUGCUGGGCCGACACUGACGCUGAUGCGCGAAAGCCAGGGGAGCGAACGGG
rnacentral:rRNA from 1 species